rnacentral:rRNA from 1 species
GGGCCCGCACAAGCGGUGGAGCAUGUGGUUUAAUUCGAUGAUACGCGAGGAACCUUACCAGGGCUUAAAUGUAAGUUGCAUAAAUCAGAGAUGAUUUUUUCUUCGGACUCAUUACAAGGUGCUGCAUGGUUGUCGUCAGCUCGUGCCGUGAGGUGUCAGGUUAAGUCCUAUAACGAGCGCAACCCCUGUCGUUAGUUACCAGCAAGUAAUGUUGGGUACUCUAGCGAGACUGCCGGUGCAAACCGUGAGGAAGGUGGGGAUGACGUCAAAUCAUCACGGCCCUUACGUCCUGGCUACACACGUGCUACAAUGGCCGGUACAGAGAGCAGCCACUACGCGAGUAGGAG